GAAUUUGGUUUGAAUGAAAUGAAUUUGUGGUUAUAGAAAUGGAUAUGGAUUUUUUUGAAAUAAUCUAAAACUCAUCUAAAUGUCAAUUUAAAAUCAAAAAAACCAAUAAAACCAAUUAAAAUCAAAUUAGUCUAUAAUUUGUUAAAAUUACUUUGAUAUCAAUUCUAACAUUUAUUUGAAAAUUAAAAUCAAUUAGAGUUUGAAUCAUUAGUAAAAAA
rnacentral:lncRNA from 1 species